rnacentral:rRNA from 1 species
AACGAACGCUGGCGGCAUGCCUAACACAUGCAAGUCGAACGAGACCUUCGGGUCUAGUGGCGCACGGGUGCGUAACGCGUGGGAACCUGCCCUUAGGUUCGGACUACCUCCCCGACAGGGGUGCUAAUACCGGAUCAUGUCUUCUGACCAAAGAUUUAUCGCCUUUGGUUGUGCCCGCGUUGGAUUAGCUUGUUGGUAGGGUAAAAGCCUACUAAGGGGCCGAUCCAUAACUGGUCUGAGAGGAUGGUCAGCCACACUGGGACUGAGACACGGCCCAGAAUCCUACGGGAGGCAGCAGUGGGGAAUAUUGGACAAUGGGCGAAAGCCUGAUCCAGCUAUGCCGCGUGAGUGAUGAAGGCAGUAGGGUUGUAAAGCUCUUUUAACCGGGAUGAUAAUGACAGUACCGGGAGAAUAAGCUCCGGCUAACUCCGUG